rnacentral:rRNA from 1 species
CCUACGGGCGUCAGCAGUGGGGAAUAUUGCGCAAUGGGCGAAAGACUGACGCAGCGACGCCGCGUGAGGGAUGAAGGUCUUCGGAUCGUUAACCUCUGUCAGCAGGGAAGCACGGUCACUGUGCUAAUCAGCAGUGAAUUGACGGUACCUGCAAAGGAAGCACCGGCUAACUCCGUGCCAGCAGCCGAGGUAAUACGGAGGGGGCGAGCGUUAAUCGGAAUUACUGGGCGUAAAGCGCUCGUAGGCGGUAUGUCAAGUCAAGGGUGAAAUCCCCGCGCUCAACGUGGGAACUGCCUUUGAAACUGGCAAACUGGAGUGUGUGAGAGGAUAGUGGAAUGCCAGGUGUAGGAGUGAAAUCCGUAGAUAUCUGGAGGAACAUCAGUGGCGAAGGCGACUAUCUGGCACAUAACUGACGCUGAGGAGCGAAAGCGUGGGUAGCAAACAGGAUUAGAUACCCCGGUAGUC